GAGUUUGAUCAUGGCUCAGAUUGAACGCUGGCGGCAUGCCUUACACAUGCAAGUCGAACGGCAACGGGCCCUUCGGGGUGCCGGCAAGUGGCGAACGGGUGAGUAACACAUCGGAACGUACCCUGUGGUGGGGGAUAACCCGUCGAAAGACGGGCUAAUACCGCAUAAGCUCUGCGGAGGAAAGCGGGGGACCGUCAAGGCCUCGCGCCACAGGAGCGGCCGAUGUCCGAUUAGCUAGUUGGUAGGGUAAAGGCCUACCAAGGCGACGAUCGGUAGCGGGUCUGAGAGGACGGCCCGCCACACUGGGACUGAGACACGGCCCASACUCCUACGGGAGGCAGCAGUGGGGAAUCUUGGACAGUGGGGGAAACCCUGAUCCAGCAAUGCCGCGUGGGUGAAGAAGGCCUUCGGGUUGUAAAGCCCUUUUAGCAGGGAAGAAAUCGGCUAGGUGAAUAAUCUAGCUGGAUGACGGUACCUGCAGAAAAAGCACCGGCUAACUACGUGCCAGCAGCCGCGGUAAUACGUAGGGUGCGAGCGUUAAUCGGAUUUACUGGGCGUAAAGCGUGCGCAGGCGGUCCGCUAAGACAGGUGUGAAAUCCCUGGGCUUAACCUAGGAAUUGCGCUUGUGACUGGUGGGCUAGAGUACGGUAGAGGGGGGUGGAAUUCCUGGUGUAGCAGUGUAAUGCGUAGAGAUCA
rnacentral:rRNA from 1 species